CUCAGAUGUGAUUUUAGCCAGGGCUUGGUU
rnacentral:piRNA from 2 species